rnacentral:rRNA from 1 species
GACGAACGCUGGCGGCGUGCUUAACACAUGCAAGUCGAACGAAGUGGCGAACGGGUGAGUAACGCGUAAUCAACCUGCCCUUCAGAGGGGGACAACAGUGGGAAACGACUGCUAAUACCGCAUACUGAAGGAGGGGAUUGCGUCUGAUUAGCUCGUUGGAGGGGUUACGGCCCACCAAGGCGAUGAUCAGUAGCCGGUCUGAAGGGAGGAACGGCCACAUUGGGACUGAGACACGGCCCAGAAGCCUACGGGAGGCAGCAGGGGGGAAGCUUCCGAAAUGGACGAAAGUCUGACGGAGCAACGCCGCGGUAGUGAUGACGGCCUUCGGGUUGUAAAGCUCUGUUAAUCGGGACGCGGUACCGGAAUAGAAAGCCACGGCUAACUACGUGCCAGCAGCCGCGGUAAUAC